rnacentral:rRNA from 1 species
AUUGAACGCUGGCGGCAUGCUUUACACAUGCAAGUCGAACGGUAACAGGUUAAGCUGACGAGUGGCGAACGGGUGAGUAAUGCAUCGGAACGUGCCCGGUCGUGGGGGAUAACGCAGCGAAAGCUGCGCUAAUACCGCAUACGAUCUGAGGAUGAAAGCGGGGGACCGUAAGGCCUCGCGCGAUCGGAGCGGCCGAUGUCAGAUUAGGUAGUUGGUGGGGUAAAGGCUCACCAAGCCAACGAUCUGUAGCUGGUCUGAGAGGACGACCAGCCACACGGGGACGGAGACACGGCCCAGACUCCUACGGGAGGCAGCAGUGGGGAAUUUUGGACAAUGGGCGAAAGCCUGAUCCAGCAAUGCCGCGUGCAGGAAGAAGGCCUUCGGGUUGUAAACUGCUUUUGUACGGAGCGAAAAGGUCUCCUCUAAUACAGGGGGCUCAUGACGGUACCGUAAGAAUAAGCACCGGCUAACUACGUGCCAGCAGCCGCCGUAA